GCGAUGGAGACCAAGCCACUUUUCCUGUUAGCGCUUUCAGCAGUCCUGGUACACAUGACGCAGGGUCAGUGCGGACCAGUGGCGACCUGCAAUGGCCCGUGUCAUCUUGGCUUGACUUUUCCUGGACUGUGCGGAAUCUGCGUGUGCGAGGAGGAGUGUCCGAUCUGUCCGUCAAAGUGUUAUUUCGCGCGCCGACCUGGCAUGUGUCCGGCCUGCGCACCUGUCCACCACUGCUACAAGUGAUGACG
rnacentral:lncRNA from 1 species